rnacentral:lncRNA from 1 species
CGGCGUGAGGGGGGUGUGUUGGAAGUCCCACAUCGACUAGAGAUAAGACCAAUUUAUAAUAUAUAAGUGGGGUGCAGACCUCACCUUACAAGCCGGUUUUGUGGGGUUGAGUUAGGCCUAAAACCCACUUCUAACAACCAAUCUUCCUUAACUUCAAUGAUUUGAUUGUCACGAUAUUGUUGACAUCUACAACUAGAAAAAUACUGCAAGAAAGAAAAAUAAUAUAAAUUUAGU